UGGGGAAUUUUGCGCAAUGGGGGAAACCCUGACGCAGCAACGCCGCGUGGAGGAUGAAGCCCCUUGGGGCGUAAACUCCUUUCGACCGAGACGAUAAUGACGGUACCGGUAGAAGAA
rnacentral:rRNA from 1 species